rnacentral:rRNA from 1 species
UACGUAGGGGGCAAGCGUUAUCCGGAUUUAUUGGGCGUAAAGAGCUCGUAGGCGGCCGUUCGCGUCGGAUGUGAAAGCUCAGGGCCCAACUCUGAGAUGCCAUUCGAUACGGGACGGCUAGAGGUAGGUAGGGGAGAGUGGAAUUCCUGGUGUAGCGGUGAAAUGCGCAGAUAUCAGGAGGAACACCGGUGGCGAAGGCGGCAUCCUGGACCAUUACUGACGCUGAGGCGCGAAAGCUAGGGGAGCAAACGGG